CGCGUGUGUGAAGAAGGCUGCGGGUUGUAAAGCACUUUCAGUAGAGAAGAAAAGCAAAGGGUUAAUAACCCUAUGUCUUGACGUUACCUACAGAAGAAGCACCGGCUAACUCCGUGCCAGCAGCCGCGGUAAUACGGAGGGUGCGAGCGUUAAUCGGAAUUACUGGGCGUAAAGCGCGCGUAGGCGGUUUAGUAAGUCGGAUGUGAAAGCCCUGGGCUUAACCUGGGAAUUGCAUUCGAAACUGCUUGACUAGAGUAUGGGAGAGGGAAGUGGAAUUUCCGGUGUAGCGGUGAAAUGCGUAGAUAUCGGAAGGAACAUCAGUGGCGAAGCGACUUCCUGGACCAAUACUGACGCUGAGGUGCGAAAGCGUGGGGAGCAAACAGGAUUAGAUACCUGGUAGUCCACGCCGUAACUAUGAGACUAGAUGUCGGGAGGUUACCUUUCGGUGUCG
rnacentral:rRNA from 1 species